rnacentral:rRNA from 1 species
AACGAACGCUGGCGGCGUGGAUUAGGCAUGCAAGUCGAGGGGUAGAAGGAGCUUGCUCCUUUGAGACCGGCGCACGGGUGCGUAACGCGUAUGCAAUCUACCUUGUACAGGGGAAUAGCCCAGAGAAAUUUGGAUUAAUGCCCCAUAGUAUAUAACCUUCGCAUGUUGGUUAUAUUAAAGUUCCAACGGUACAAGAUGAGCAUGCGUCCCAUUAGUUAGUUGGUAAGGUAACGGCUUACCAAGACGAUGAUGGGUAGGGGUCCUGAGAGGGAGAUCCCCCACACUGGUACUGAGACACGGACCAGACUCCUACGGGAGGCAGCAGUGAGGAAUAUUGGUCAAUGGUCGCAAGACUGAACCAGCCAUGCCGCGUGCAGGAAGACGGUCCUAUGGAUUGUAAACUGCUUUUAUACAGGAAGAACCCUCCCACGUGUGGGAGCUUGACGGUACUGUAGGAAUAAGGAUCGGCUAACUCCGUG